rnacentral:rRNA from 2 species
UGCCUGUAAGACUGGGAUAACUCCGGGAAACCGGAGCUAAUACCGGAUAGUAUCUUGAACCGCAUGGUUCAAGUUGGAAAGACGGUUUCGGCUGUCACUUACAGAUGGGCCCGCGGCGCAUUAGCUAGUUGGUGAGGUAAUGGCUCACCAAGGCAACGAUGCGUAGCCGACCUGAGAGGGUGAUCGGCCACACUGGGACUGAGACACGGCCCAGACUCCUACGGGAGGCAGCAGUAGGGAAUCUUCCGCAAUGGACGAAAGUCUGACGGAGCAACGCCGCGUGAGUGAUGAAGGUUUUCGGAUCGUAAAACUCUGUUGUUAGGGAAGAACAAGUGCGAGAGUAACUGCUCGCACCUUGACGGUACCUAACCAGAAAGCCACGGCUAACUACGUGCCAGCAGCCGCGGUAAUACGUAGGUGGCAAGCGUUGUCCGGAAUUAUUGGGCGUAAAGCGCGCGCAGGCGGUUUCUUAAGUCUGAUGUGAAAGCCCCCGGCUCAACCGGGGAGGGUCAUUGGAAACUGGGAAACUUGAGUGCAGAAGAGGAGAGUGGAAUUCCACGUGUAGCGGUGAAAUGCGUAUAGAUGUGGAGGAACACCAGUGGCGAAGGCGACUCUCUGGUCUGUAACUGACGCUGAGGCGCGAAAGCGU